CUACGUAGCUCAGUUGGUUAGAGCACAUCACUCAUAAUGAUGGGGUCACAGGUUCGAAUCCCGUCGUAGCC
rnacentral:tRNA from 54 species